CGGCCGCGGUAUCCUAACCGUGCGAAGGUAGCGUAAUCACUUGUUCUUUAAAUGAGGACUAGUAUGAAUGGCAUCACGAAGGCUAUACUGUCUCCCUUUUUUAAUCAAUGAAACUAAUCUUCCCGUGAAGAAGCGGGAAUAUACCUAUAAGACGAGAAGACCCUAUGGAGCUUUAAACCCAGUAGCACUAACUUACUGAAACUUUGAAUUAAUAUUUAAUUUAGUUUUAUGUCUACUAGUUUUAGGUUGGGGUGACCGCGGAGUAUAAUAAAACCUCCACAUUGGACGGACCUAAAAUCCUGAGCAAAAAUUUACAAAUUUAUGCACCAAUAAAUUGUCAUUUAUUGACCCAUUUUUUGAUCAACGAACCAAGUUACCCUAGGGAUAACAGCGCAAUCCGCUUCAAGAGCUCCUAUCGACAAGCGGGUUUACGACCUCGAUGUUGGAUCAGGGUAUCCCAGUGGUGCAGCCGCUACUAAAGGUUCGUUUGUUCAACGAUUAAAACCCU
rnacentral:rRNA from 1 species